rnacentral:misc_RNA from 1 species
UUUCCGUAGGUGAACCUGCGGAAGGAUCAUUAUUGUGUAACCGAGGUGCGAGGGCUGUCGCUGACCCGAAAGGUCGUGCACGCCCGAGUGCCCUCACACACAUCCAUCUCACCCCUAUGUGCACCACCGCGUGAGUCCCCCUUUGGCUUGUUCGGAGGGGGGCUUACGUUUUCACACAAACUUUGUAUGCAGUGUAGAAUGUAUUUUUUGUUUUUGCGAUCACGCAAUCAAUACAACUUUCAACAACGGAUCUCUUGGCUCUC